CCCAGAAAUCCCAGCCAGUUUACCAGCUGUUAUGAUUUCUGGGAGUUGAAGGCCAAAAACAUCUGGGAACCCCAGGUUGAGAAUCACUGAUGUAGACCAUCACAUUACCAUCUAUGUCACUGCUGCCACUUCUGGAUAGCUGCAGAACUCCUGGCCACUGGAAGCAUCCUGUGCUAACAUCAACAGAGGUGCCCACAUAAGCAGAAAAAGUGGAGGGGGUCCCCUCCUGACAAAAUCAGGGGAAAGGAGAUGAUGGGAGUACUCCAUAUAGAAAGUAAGCAGUCCGAAUCUGACCUGAUCCUCCUGUCCGUACUAAGUUAAAUUUGCGAGGUAAAUUUGCUCUAGGAUUCCAAGCUAACUCUGGAGCAUCUCCCAACAUCUCAUAAUCCAGAUUUCUUAGCAAUACUUAUCAGAAGUGAAGGUGUGUCAUGAAGAGAGCUAGGACUUAACACAUGGUGAGUACAGGUUAUUAGGCCCAUAUAAACAAAUCCUCAAUGACAUUCAGGGAAUUUAUUUAUUUAUGACAUUUCUACCCCAUCUUUCUCAACCCCGGAGGGGACUCAAGGCAGCUUUACACACAGGCAACUAUUUGUUGCCUUAAAAACAAUGUACAGUUAAAAUGAACAUUUUAAAUUCAAUUAUAAAAUACAUGAAGACAAUUAAAAUAUUUAAAACAAUACAUUCACAAUUAAUCACAUAAGCAUAAUCCGGGCCGUUCCUAUGAUCAUUGCACUUCAUUCUAUAUCUAUCUAUUGCACAAGUUCCACAAAGCCACAUUUUUACUCUCUUACAGAAGGUCAGGAGGGAGAGAUUUGCACAGCCGAGGGGCCAUCACUGAGAAGGCCCUGUCUCUCGUCCCCACCAAUCGCGCCUGUGAAGGAGGCAGGACCUAGAGCAAGGCCUCCCCAGAUGAUCUUAAACUCUGAGAUGGUUUGUAGAGGGAGAUACGUUCGGACAGGAAGUACAGGUGGAGGAUGUUUUAUCACUUCAGCUUUGACGGAUCUGAAGAUUAAACUUCACUUCCGAUGCCUCAAACAAAAAAAAGGCCGAAGAGCCGGCAUUGUCUCCAAGAUCAUGUGGCCGGCAUGACUGCAUGGAGCGCCAUUAGGCAAGUAAGCACUUGCAAUUUAACCUAGCCAUUGAUGAGGACCUGAAAACAAUAUCUGAGCAAAUCAAGAAUGGGGCAGUGGUUCUCAACCUGGCACCUCCAGAUGUUUUUGGCCUACAACUCAAGCCAGUGCAAUUAACUGCAAUGAAUCACUCUGACCAGGAGGUCAUGAGUUCGAGCCCCGCUCGGAGCCUAUGUUUGUUUGUCUUUGUUCUAUGUUGAAAGGCAUUGAAUGUUUGCCUAUAUGUGUAAUGUGAUCCGCCCUGAGUCCCCUUCGGGGUGAGAAGGGCGGAAUAUAAAUGCUGUAAAUAAUAAAUAAAUAAAUAAAUAAAUAAAUUUUAGAGAAACAAAAAUUAGAGUUCCUCCAGAACUACAAGCACUAUCUCAAUCAAAUCUGGAUUAGUCACACUAUAAUUACUUACCUUUCUACCAAUUUACAUUGCAAUGGAAGUAAUAACGGACAUAGUCGAAGAGACCAUAGUAGAAGCUGCCAAAAUGUGAUAGC